rnacentral:rRNA from 1 species
UACGUAGGGUGCAAGCGUUAAUCGGAAUUACUGGGCGUAAAGCGUGCGCAGGCGGUUGUGCAAGACAGAUGUGAAAUCCCCGGGCUCAACCUGGGAACUGCAUUUGUGACUGCACAGCUGGAGUGCGGCAGAGGGGGAUGGAAUUCCGCGUGUAGCAGUGAAAUGCGUAGAUAUGUGGAGGAACACCGAUGGCGAAGGCAGCCCCCUGGGUCAAGAUUGACGCUCAUGCACGAAAGCGUGGGGAGCAAACAGG